rnacentral:rRNA from 2 species
GACGAACGCUGGCGGCGUGCCUAAUACAUGCAAGUCGUGCGGACCUUUUAAAAGCUUGCUUUUAAAAGGUUAGCGGCGGACGGGUGAGUAACACGUGGGCAACCUGCCUGUAAGAUCGGGAUAACGCCGGGAAACCGGGGCUAAUACCGGAUAGUUUUUUCCUCCGCAUGGAGGAAAAAGGAAAGACGGCUUCGGCUGUCACUUACAGAUGGGCCCGCGGCGCAUUAGCUUGUUGGUGGGGUAACGGCUCACCAAGGCAACGAUGCGUAGCCGACCUGAGAGGGUGAUCGGCCACAUUGGGACUGAGACACGGCCCAAACUCCUACGGGAGGCAGCAGUAGGGAAUCUUCCGCAAUGGACGAAAGUCUGACGGAGCAACGCCGCGUGAGUGAAGAAGGCCUUCGGGUCGUAAAACUCUGUUGCCGGGGAAGAACAAGUGCCGUUCGAACAGGGCGGCGCCUUGACGGUACCCGGCCAGAA